UACGGGGGGGGCAAGCGUUGUUCAGAAUUAUUGGGCGUAAAGGGUUCGUAGGUGGCCGGCUAAGUCAGACGUGAAAUCCCCGGGCUCAACCUGGGAACUGCAUUUGUGACUGCAUCGCUGGAGUACGGCAGAGGGGGAUGGAAUUCCGCGUGUAGCAGUGAAAUGCGUAGAUAUGCGGAGGAACACCGAUGGCGAAGGCAAUCCCCUGGGCCAUUACUGACGCUGAGACACGAAAGCGUGGGGAGCAAACGGG
rnacentral:rRNA from 1 species